CAAGACCUUAUUUAAGGGGAGCAAUUAAUCCAAAUCACUACACCUAGUGGGUUCUUUUCAGCAAAUUAAGUUAAGUUAACAAGGUGGAGGUUACACAUGGCAAAUUUAUCAUCGUGUCAAAUUCUUCGUCUAUAUUCUAUAUAUAAAGUAAAAUACAAAAAAUGGUGAAACAUUCAAAAUACUAAAAAUUGUCCUUGGCUAAUGAAUUUAUUAAGCAUGUAAAAUUUUC
rnacentral:lncRNA from 1 species